UGCAGAACAAGCCCAUUGGUUCAGGCUAACAAAAACAGUCUCUCCACGUUAGUAAAUUAGUAUUCACCCUGUCUAUGGAGGAGGAGGAAAAUGAUUAAGGAGGAGGUUGUAAUCAGCACCUAUUAAAGGAGGUUUCCAAGGUAGAAACCGUUUGACUCAGGAGAUUCCAUUCCUCGGUUCCUUAGACAACAUUCAUUGGUUUUGUACCUACUGGAAACUGUUCAACCAUAUCAAAAGGGUUACUUAAAACAGCUCCUCACAUUGUCUCAGGUAACAACUUCCCACACCCUCAGCAUCUCCCUUGGAAGAAACAGCUUUGGUCACCCAGCCUCCUGCCAAGGCUCAGGUGGAAAAUCUGUGAAAAAAAGCAAGCCUAACCCUUGGGAAAGAAAAAAAAAAUACUGAAUGUGUGUUUAAACAAUACUGACAGCAAAAUAAAUAAUAAAAAAUUGUUACUGC